rnacentral:rRNA from 1 species
GGGUUGUGAGGUUAAGCGACUAAGCGUACACGGUGGAUGCCCUGGCAGUCAGAGGCGAUGAAGGACGUGCUAAUCUGCGAUAAGCGUCGGUAAGGUGAUAUGAACCGUUAUAACCGGCGAUUUCCGAAUGGGGAAACCCAGUGUGAUUCGUCACACUAUCAUUAACUGAAUCCAUAGGUUAAUGAGGCGAACCGGGGGAACUGAAACAUCUAAGUACCCCGAGGAAAAGAAAUCAACCGAGAUUCCCCCAGUAGCGGCGAGCGAACGGGGAGGAGCCCAGAGCCUGAAUCAGUGUGUGUGUUAGUGGAAGCGUCUGGAAAGGCGCGCGAUACAGGGUGACAGCCCCGUACACAAAAAUGCACAUAUUGUGAGCUCGAUGAGUAGGGCGGGACACGUGGUAUCCUGUCUGAAUAUGGGGGGACCAUCCUCCAAGGCUAAAUACUCCUGACUGACCGAUAGUGAACCAGUACCGUGAGGGAAAGGCGAAAAGAACCCCGGCGAGGGGAGUGAAAAAGAACCUGAAACCGUGUACGUACAAGCAGUGGGAGCACGCUUCGGCGUGUGACUGCGUACCUUUUGUAUAAUGGGUCAGCGACUUAUAUUCUGUAGCAAGGUUAACCGAAUAGGGGAGCCGAAGGGAAACCGAGUCUUAACUGGGCGUUAAGUUGCAGGGUAUAGACCCGAAACCCGGUGAUCUAGCCAUGGGCAGGUUGAAGGUUGGGUAACACUAACUGGAGGACCGAACCGACUAAUGUUGAAAAAUUAGCGGAUGACUUGUGGCUGGGGGUGAAAGGCCAAUCAAACCGGGAGAUAGCUGGUUCUCCCCGAAAGCUAUUUAGGUAGCGCCUCGUGAAUUCAUCUCCGGGGGUAGAGCACUGUUUCGGCAAGGGGGUCAUCCCGACUUACCAACCCGAUGCAAACUGCGAAUACCGGAGAAUGUUAUCACGGGAGACACACGGCGGGUGCUAACGUCCGUCGUGAAGAGGGAAACAACCCAGACCGCCAGCUAAGGUCCCAAAGUCAUGGUUAAGUGGGAAACGAUGUGGGAAGGCCCAGACAGCCAGGAUGUUGGCUUAGAAGCAGCCAUCAUUUAAAGAAAGCGUAAUAGCUCACUGGUCGAGUCGGCCUGCGCGGAAGAUGUAACGGGGCUAAACCAUGCACCGAAGCUGCGGCAGCGACGCUGAUGCGUUGUUGGGUAGGGGAGCGUUCUGUAAGCCUGCGAAGGUGUGCUGUGAGGCAUGCUGGAGGUAUCAGAAGUGCGAAUGCUGACAUAAGUAACGAUAAAGCGGGUGAAAAGCCCGCUCGCCGGAAGACCAAGGGUUCCUGUCCAACGUUAAUCGGGGCAGGGUGAGUCGACCCCUAAGGCGAGGCCGAAAGGCGUAGUCGAUGGGAAACAGGUUAAUAUUCCUGUACUUGGUGUUACUGCGAAGGGGGGACGGAGAAGGCUAUGUUGGCCGGGCGACGGUUGUCCCGGUUUAAGCGUGUAGGCUGGUUUUCCAGGCAAAUCCGGAAAAUCAAGGCUGAGGCGUGAUGACGAGGCACUACGGUGCUGAAGCAACAAAUGCCCUGCUUCCAGGAAAAGCCUCUAAGCAUCAGGUAACAUCAAAUCGUACCCCAAACCGACACAGGUGGUCAGGUAGAGAAUACCAAGGCGCUUGAGAGAACUCGGGUGAAGGAACUAGGCAAAAUGGUGCCGUAACUUCGGGAGAAGGCACGCUGAUAUGUAGGUGAAGUCCCUCGCGGAUGGAGCUGAAAUCAGUCGAAGAUACCAGCUGGCUGCAACUGUUUAUUAAAAACACAGCACUGUGCAAACACGAAAGUGGACGUAUACGGUGUGACGCCUGCCCGGUGCCGGAAGGUUAAUUGAUGGGGUCAGCGCAAGCGAAGCUCUUGAUCGAAGCCCCGGUAAACGGCGGCCGUAACUAUAACGGUCCUAAGGUAGCGAAAUUCCUUGUCGGGUAAGUUCCGACCUGCACGAAUGGCGUAAUGAUGGCCAGGCUGUCUCCACCCGAGACUCAGUGAAAUUGAACUCGCUGUGAAGAUGCAGUGUACCCGCGGCAAGACGGAAAGACCCCGUGAACCUUUACUAUAGCUUGACACUGAACAUUGAGCCUUGAUGUGUAGGAUAGGUGGGAGGCUUUGAAGUGUGGACGCCAGUCUGCAUGGAGCCGACCUUGAAAUACCACCCUUUAAUGUUUGAUGUUCUAACGUUGACCCGUAAUCCGGGUUGCGGACAGUGUCUGGUGGGUAGUUUGACUGGGGCGGUCUCCUCCUAAAGAGUAACGGAGGAGCACGAAGGUUGGCUAAUCCUGGUCGGACAUCAGGAGGUUAGUGCAAUGGCAUAAGCCAGCUUGACUGCGAGCGUGACGGCGCGAGCAGGUGCGAAAGCAGGUCAUAGUGAUCCGGUGGUUCUGAAUGGAAGGGCCAUCGCUCAACGGAUAAAAGGUACUCCGGGGAUAACAGGCUGAUACCGCCCAAGAGUUCAUAUCGACGGCGGUGUUUGGCACCUCGAUGUCGGCUCAUCACAUCCUGGGGCUGAAGUAGGUCCCAAGGGUAUGGCUGUUCGCCAUUUAAAGUGGUACGCGAGCUGGGUUUAGAACGUCGUGAGACAGUUCGGUCCCUAUCUGCCGUGGGCGCUGGAGAACUGAGGGGGGCUGCUCCUAGUACGAGAGGACCGGAGUGGACGCAUCACUGGUGUUCGGGUUGUCAUGCCAAUGGCACUGCCCGGUAGCUAAAUGCGGAAGAGAUAAGUGCUGAAAGCAUCUAAGCACGAAACUUGCCCCGAGAUGAGUUCUCCCUGACCCUUUAAGGGUCCUGAAGGAACGUUGAAGACGACGACGUUGAUAGGCCGGGUGUGUAAGCGCAGCGAUGCGUUGAGCUAACCGGUACUAAUGAACCGUGAGGCUUAACCUUACAACGCCGAAG